AUGGAAAUGAAUAGAAUGCAUAACCCUCGAAGCAACAUAUGUACUUAACAAAAACCAGUCUGUGGGACAAGCAUCCAUUCAAAUGGAACUCAUUUUCGUUCAGCGCUGAAGGAGCGAACAGCCUGACAGCCCUUGCAGUGGGAAAGCUGAUCCCUUUAGCCAUCUGGUCUCACCACGACUCUCUGAUAAGUGAUUAUGGAAUCUGCCACAUCCGACUUAUUUUAUUCGCAAAUACAGAACUGUAAAACACCAAAA